AUCUUUGCGCAGUGGCAGUAUCGUAGCCUAUGAGGUUUAGCCGAGGCGCGAUUAUUGCUGGUUGAAAACUUAACCCAAUUCCCGUCCAAAGCGACUUGAAAUACAGUCAGCUUUGGCAAUUUUUGAUAGUCUCGUACGAGA